GCCCGUGUGGCCCAGUGGAUAGAGCGUCGGCCUGUGGACCGAAGGGUCCCGGGUUCGAUUCCGGUCCAGGGCA
rfam:Myotis brandtii contig315230, whole genome shotgun sequence.